CGCGCAGGCGGUUUGUUUAGUCAGAUGUGAAAGCCCACGGCUUAACCGUGGAAGUGCAUUUGAAACUGGCAAACUUGAGUACCAGAGGGGAAGGUGGAAUUCCCGGUGUAGAGGUGAAAUUCGUAGAUAUCGGGAGGAAUACCGGUGGCGAAGGCGACUUUCUGGCUGGAUACUGACGCUGAGGCGCGAAAGCGUGGGGAGCAAACA
rnacentral:rRNA from 1 species